CCCGCGCACGCUCCUGCUGGCUGCACGGGUAUCUGCUAGUCCUUGAAUUGCUCAAAUGAAAAUAGUGGAGCUACGGUGUACAAAAUAUGGAUGAUACUGUUGGUAUCUGUGUUAGCUACAGUAUGAAAUUUGAACAAAGAAGGUCAUAGGAGUAACAUGCUGUCCUGGAUCACAGCAUAACCCUAUGUUCGUAUUUGGAGGACGUGUUGUGUUCAAGUUAUAUUCCGU